rnacentral:tRNA from 1 species
GGAUAUAGCUCAAGUGGUAGAGUGCUUGCUUAGCAUGCAGUGAGGUCCUGGGUUCAAUCCCCAGUACCUCCU